rnacentral:rRNA from 1 species
AAAAUAGGGCGUUAAAAGAUGUAGGUAUAUUUUCUAUAGGUAAAUCCGUAGAGAAUGCUGAAUUCCAAUAGUACCAGGAGGCUUCGGCCGAAUGGAUAGAGAAUGUAAGCAGACUUCCGAGAGGGUCUUCUAAGCAUAUUGAUACGGUACCCGUACCGCAAACCGACAUAGGUAGUCAAGGAGAGAAUCCUGAGGUGCUCGAGUGAGUCAUGGCUAAGGAACUAGGCAAAUUAAACCUGUAAUUUUGGGAAAAGGGUUGCCUCUCUUUAGUAAUAAAGAAGGUCGCAGAGAAAUGGCCCAGGCGACUGUUUAAUAAAAACAUAUGGCUAUGCGAAAUCGUAAGAUGAAGUAUAUGGCCUGACACCUGCCCGGUGCUGGAAGGUUAAGGGGGGAAGUUAGUCGUAGGGCGAAGCUUUGAACUGAAGCCCCAGUAAACGGUGGCCGUAGUUAUAACGGUCCUAAGGUAGUGAAAUUCCUUGUCGGGUAAGUUCCGACCUGUAUGAAUGGUGUAACGAUCUGGGCACUGUCUCAGCCAUGAGCUCGGUGAAAUUGUAGUCACGGUGAAGAUGCCGUGUACCCGUCACGGGACGGAAAGACCCCAUGCACCUUUACUAUAGCUUCGCAUUGACAUUGGGUAGAUGAUGUGUAGGAUAGGUGGGAGGCGUUGAUCCUGUGCCGCUAGGUAUAGGGGAGCCAACGGUGAAAUACCACCCUUUAUUUAUCUGAUGUCUAAUCCGCAAGAUUUGCGGAGACAGUGCGUGGUGGGUAGUUUGACUGGGGUGGUCGCCUCCGAAAGUGUAUCGGAGGCUUUCAAAGGUAUGCUCAAUACGCUUGGUAACCGUAUGUGGAGUGCAAUAGCAUAAGCAUGCUUGACUGUGAGACUGAUAAGUCGAGCACGGUCGAAAGACGGAUAUAGUGAUCCGGUGGUUCUGUAUGGAAGGGCCAUCGCUCAAAGGAUAAAAGGUACGCUGGGAUAAUAGGCUGAUCUCCCCUAAGAGUUUAUAUCGAUGGGGAGGUUUGGCACCUCGAUGUCGGCUCGUCACAUCCUGGGGCUGGAGAAGGUCCCAAGGGUUAGGCUGUUUGCCUAUUAAAGUGGCACGCGAGCUGGGUUCAGAACGUCGUGAGACAGUUCGGUCCCUAUCUGUGAUGGGCGUAGGAAGUUUGAGAGGAUCUGACCUUAGUAUGAGAGGAUUGGGUUGGACCAACCGUUGGUGUACCGGUUGUGGUGUUAGUUGCAUCGCCGGGUAGCUACGUUGGGACGAGAUAAGCGCUGAAAGUAUUUAAGCGCGAAACUCACCUCAAGAUGAGACUUCCAUUAAGGGACGUCAGAGAUUAUGACGUUGAUAGGCUGCAGGUGUAAAGGCAGAAAUGUCAAAGCUGAGCAGUAUUAAUUAUUU